rnacentral:misc_RNA from 1 species
GUGAAUCAUCGAAUUUUUGAACGCAAAUUGCACCUUUUUCUGAAGGCAUGUCUGUUUGAGUUCACCAUUUAACAAAUAAUGUGCAGCGUUUUUUGGUGCACGCUUGGAUUAGCUUUCCAAAAAUUUUAAGUUUUUGGUGGCGCAUAAUGAACAGCGUGAAAGUUUGUUUCAGCUCGAAUAUAGUAAAAUCUUUGCUUGUGUUGUUACGAUACAUAAUCGCGCAAUGGGUGUGGCGAUUUCUUUUUAUCCCUGCCCCAAUGCCACUCUUUCUCACGAAAGG